GAUGAACGCUGGCGGCGUGCUUAACACAUGCAAGUCGAACGAUGAUGCCCACUUGUGGGUGGAUUAGUGGCGAACGGGUGAGUAACACGUGAGUAACCUGCCCUUGACUCUGGGAUAAGCCUGGGAAACUGGGUCUAAUACCGGAUAUGACCUUCCAUCGCAUGGUGGUUGGUGGAAAGCUUUUGUGGUUUUGGCUGGACUCGCGGCCUAUCAGCUUGUUGGUGGGGUAAUGGCCUACCAAGGCGACGACGGGUAGCCGGCCUGAGAGGGUGACCGGCCACACUGGGACUGGGACACGGCCCAGACUCCUACGGGAGGCAGCAGUGGGGAAUAUUGCACAAUGGGCGCAAGCCUGAUGCAGCGACGCCGCGUGAGGGAUGACGGCCUUCGGGUUGUAAACCUCUUUCAGUAGGGAAGAAGCGAAAGUGACGGUACCUGCAGGAGAAGCGCCGGCUAACUACGUGCCAGCAGCCGCCGUAAUAC
rnacentral:rRNA from 1 species